UACGUAGGGUCCGAGCGUUGUCCGGAAUUACUGGGCGUAAAGAGCUCGUAGGUGGUUUGUCGCGUUGUUCGUGAAAACUCACAGCUCAACUGUGGGCGUGCGGGCGAUACGGGCAGACUUGAGUACUGCAGGGGAGACUGGAAUUCCUGGUGUAGCGGUGGAAUGCGCAGAUAUCAGGAGGAACACCGGUGGCGAAGGCGGCCUUCUGGACAGUAACUGACGCUGAGACGCGAAAGCGUGGGGAGCAAACAGG
rnacentral:rRNA from 1 species